GCGCUGGCUUCGGCAGCACAUACACUAAAAUGGGGACGAUACUGAGAAGAUGAGUGUGGCCCCCGUGCAAGGAUGACAGGCAUGUUUCCCGGAGAAUAGUGCCUCCCGU
ensembl:snRNA U6 U6 spliceosomal RNA